GUGUUCUUCCUCGGUGCGUUCUGAACCUUCUUAACCUCAAAUCCCUCGUUCCGGAUUCUUUCCGACGCGCGUGGAGAUCGUCGAGUAGGUGGACAAGAACACGUCAAUGUAUAGAACCUCAUCGACUAUGGCUGCAACACCUCCACCCUUUGGUCCAAGCUCGAGUGCCUUAGCAUAUUGUUCGGGGGAGUUCAAAGGUUCAGAGGUCGAGAGCAAGCUAUCAAGCCCUGUGAUCCCUGAUGAAAGCUGUUGAACAGUCAGGAUGGAUGUCAAGCUUGCUGUGUAGCUUGAAGUGAUGAUCAGGACUACAAACAUCCACACUAUCAGCACAAAGCGGCCCAGUGUACUAACUGUGUUCUCUCCUGAACAAUUUCCAGACAUAAAAUGAACUAAAUCUCAAAGAUGGACGAAUCAAUUGUGGGCUAUCAAAUGGAAAGAUCACUUACUGUGGGCAAAAAACAUUGUUGAAAAGCUAAACCUGCAAGUGUACAGGUUUCCCUCGGAACUCAGGGUUGAGUCGAUGUUCAAGAAUCCAAACAACAGCCCCUACAACCAAGAAGAAAGCUCCCGUGACACACCACAUUUCAGCUGUGAAUGGCUUCAUGAAAGCCCAAGCACUCGAGCUCUCCU